rnacentral:rRNA from 1 species
AGAGUUUGAUCCUGGCUCAGAUUGAACGCUGGCGGCAUGCUUUACACAUGCAAGUCGAGCGGCAGCGCGGGGGCAACCCUGGCGGCGAGCGGCGAACGGGUGAGUAAUACAUCGGAACGUGUCCCGUAGUGGGGGAUAGCCCGGCGAAAGCCGGAUUAAUACCGCAUAUGCUCUACGGAGGAAAGCGGGGGAUUCGCAAGAACCUCGCGCUAUGGGAGCGGCCGAUGUCCGAUUAGCUUGUUGGUGAGGUAAAGGCUCACCAAGGCGACGAUCGGUAGCUGGUCUGAGAGGAUGAUCAGCCACACUGGGACUGAGACACGGCCCAGACUCCUACGGGAGGCAGCAGUGGGGAAUUUUGGACAAUGGGGGCAACCCUGAUCCAGCCAUGCCGCGUGAGUGAAGAAGGCCUUCGGGUUGUAAAGCUCUUUUGGCCGGAAAGAAAAGAUCUUGUCUAAUAAACGAGGUUCUUGACGGUACCGGCAGAAUAAGCACCGGCUAACUACGUGCCAGCAGCCGCGGUAAUACGUAGGGUGCGAGCGUUAAUCGGAAUUACUGGGCGUAAAGAGUGCGUAGGCGGUUCUUUGUGUCCGCUGUGAAAUCCCCGGGCUUAACCUGGGAAUGGCAGUGGAAACUAGAGGACUUGAAUCCGGCAGAGGGGGGUGGAAUGCCACGUGUAGCAGUGAAAUGCGUAGAUAUGUGGCGGAACACCGAUGGCGAAGGCAGCCCCCUGGGCUGAGAUUGACGCUCAGGCACGAAAGCGUGGGGAGCAAACAGGAUUAGAUACCCUAGUAGUCC